AAAAAAUCCGCUGUAACGUUAAUGCUGAGGCGUGAUGGGGAAGGCCCUUGAGGCUGAAGUACAUGAUUCCAUGCUUCCAAGAAAAGCAUCUAGAGAGAGAAGUAGUGCCCGUACCGCAAACCGACACAGGUAGAUGAGGAGAGAAUCCUAAGGCCGGCGGAAGAAUUGCAGUUAAGGAACUAGGCAAAUUGACCCCGUAAGUUAGCGAGAAGGGGUGCCUGCGAGAGCAGGCCGCAGAGAAUAGGCCCAAGCAACUGUUUAGCAAAAACACAGGUCUCUGCUAAAGCGCAAGCUGAUGUAUAGGGGCUGACGCCUGCCCGGUGCUGGAAGGUUAAGGGGAACACUUAGCGCAAGCGAAGGUGUGAACUUAAGCCCCAGUAAACGGCGGCCGUAACUAUAACGGUCCUAAGGUAGCGAAAUUCCUUGUCAGGUAAGUUCUGACCCGCACGAAUGGCGUAAUGACUUGGGCACUGUCUCAACUGCAAAUCCGGCGAAGUUGUAGUGCGAGUGAAGAUGCUCGCUACCCGCGAUUGGACGGAAAGACCCCGUAGAGCUUUACUGUAGCUUAGCAUUGAAUUCCGGUAUUGUCUGUACAGGAUAGGUGGGAGACUGGGAAACUAGGGCGUCAGCCUUGGUGGAGUCGUCCUUGGGAUACCACCCUGACAGUACUGGGGUUCUAACAGGACGCCAUGAAUCUGGUGACUGGACAUUGUUAGGUGGGCAGUUUGACUGGGGCGGUCGCCUCCUAAAAAGUAACGGAGGCGCCCAAAGGUUCCCUCAGAACGGUCGGAAAUCGUUCGUAGAGUGCAAAGGCAGAAGGGAGCCUGACUGCGAGACCUACAAGUCGAGCAGGGACGAAAGUCGGGCUUAGUGAUCCGGUGGUACCUCGUGGGAGGGCCAUCGCUCAACGGAUAAAAGCUACCUCGGGGAUAACAGGCUGAUCUCCCCCAAGAGUCCACAUCGACGGGGAGGUUUGGCACCUCGAUGUCGGCUCGUCGCAUCCUGGGGCUGUAGUAGGUCCCAAGGGUUGGGCUGUUCGCCCAUUAAAGCGGCACGCGAGCUGGGUUCAGAACGUCGUGAGACAGUUCGGUCCCUAUCCGUCGGGCGUAGGAAAUUUGAGAGGAGCUGUCCUUAGUACGAGAGGACCGGGAUGGACUGACCUCUGGUGCACCAGUUGUUCUGCCAAGAGCAUGGCUGGGUAGCUAAGUCGGGAAGGGAUAAACGCUGAAAGCAUCUAAGCGUGAAGCCUCCCUCAAGAUGAGAUUUCCCAUAGCAUAAGCUAGUAAGACCCCUUGAAGAACACGAGGUUGAUAGGUCAGAGGUGUAAGUGUGGUAACAUAUUUAGCUGACUGAUACUAAUAGGUCGAGGGCUUGAUC
rnacentral:rRNA from 1 species